rnacentral:rRNA from 1 species
UACAGAGACUGCAAGCGUUAUUCGGAUUCACUGGGCGUAAAGGGUGCGCAGGCGGCCGUGUGUGUGAGGCGUGAAAGCCCGGGGCUUAACCCCGGAAUUGCACCUCAAACUACACGGCUAGAGCAUUGGAGAGGGUAGCAGAAUUCACGGUGUAGCAGUGAAAUGCGUAGAUAUCGUGAGGAAUACCAGAGGCGAAAGGCGG